GCCCGAUUGGCACAAUUGGUCAGCGCGUAAGACUUUUAUCGCAUCAGCGAGAGAUCUUAAGGUUGGGAGUUCGAGCCUCCCAUCGGGCG